rfam:Rattus norvegicus chromosome 20, whole genome shotgun sequence.
UAGCUCAGUGGUAGAGCGUUUGCCUAGCAAGCUCAAGGCCCUGGGUUCGGUCCCCAG